rnacentral:misc_RNA from 1 species
GAACUGCGAUAAGUAAUGUGAAUUGCAGAAUUCAGUGAAUCAUCGAGUCUUUGAACGCACAUUGCGCCCCCUGGUAUUCCGGGGGGCAUGCCUGUCCGAGCGUCAUUGCUACCCUCCAGCACGGCUGGUGUGUUGGGCCGCCGUCCCCCCGCGGGACGGGCCCGAAAGGCAGCGGCGGCGCCGUCCGGUCCUCGAGCGUAUGGGGCUCUGUCACCCGCUCUGUAGUGGCCGGCCGGGGCUCGCCUCGACAGUCAGUCUUAUUACCAAGGUUGACCUCGGAUCAGGUAGGGAUACCCGCUGAACUUAA